ACAGCAGUCGCCACGGGAAUACGGAGGGUGCAAGCGUUAAUCGGAAUUACUGGGCGUAAAGCGCACGCAGGCGGUUUGUUAAGUCAGAUGUGAAAUCCCCGGGCUCAACCUGGGAACUGCAUUUGUGACUGGCAAGCUAGAGUGUGGCAGAGGGGGGUGGAAUUCCGCGUGUAGCAGUGAAAUGCGUAGAUAUGCGGAGGAACACCGAUGGCGAAGGCAGCCCCCUGGGCCAACACUGACGCUCAUGCACGAAAGCGUGGGGAGCAAACAGGAUUAGAUACCCCUGUAGUCCCUGUCUCUUAUAC
rnacentral:rRNA from 1 species